rnacentral:rRNA from 1 species
CCUACGGGUGGCAGCAGUGAGGAAUAUUGGUCAAUGGACGAGAGUCUGAACCAGCCAAGUAGCGUGAAGGAUGAAUGCCCUAUGGGUUGUAAACUUCUUUUAUAUGGGAAUAAAAUGUUACACGUGUGGGAUUUUGUAUGUACCAUAUGAAUAAGGAUCGGCUAACUCCGUGCCAGCAGCCGCGGUAAUACGGAGGAUCCGAGCGUUAUCCGGAUUUAUUGGGUUUAAAGGGAGCGUAGGUGGAUUGUUAAGUCAGUUGUGAAAGUUUGCGGCUCAACCGGAAAAUUGCAGUUGAAACUGGCAGUCUUGAGUACAGUAGAGGUGGGCGGAAUUCGUGGUGUAGCGGUGAAAUGCUUAGAUAUCACGAAGAACUCCGAUUGCGAAGGCAGUUCACUGGACUGCAACUGACACUGAGGCUCGAAAGUGUGGGUAUCAAACAGGAUUAGAUACCCCUGUAGUC